rnacentral:misc_RNA from 1 species
GAUGAAGAACGUAGCGAAAUGCGAUACUUGGUGUGAAUUGCAGAAUCCCGUGAACCAUCGAGUCUUUGAACGCAAGUUGCGCCCGAAGCCAUUAGGCCGAGGGCACGCCUGCCUGGGCGUCACACGUCGUUGCCCCCCCAUCUACUCCUUCGGGAUUGCGGGGGGCGGAUGAUGGCCUCCCGUGCGCCUCGCCGCGCGGUUGGCAUAAAUGCCAAGUCCUCGGCGACGCACGCCACGACAAUCGGUGGUUGCGAAACCUCGGUUGCCCGUCGUGUGCGGUCGUCGCGCAUCGAGGGCUCGAAAAAAUUGCCGGGUUCCGGCUCGGCUUUCAAUGCGACCCCAGGUCAGGCGGGGUUACCCGCUGAAUUUAAGAAUAUCAAUAAGCGGAGGA